AGUGAACGCUGGCGGUAGGCCCAACACAUGCAAGUCGAACGGCAGCACAGUAAGAGCUUGCUCUUACGGGUGGCGAGUGGCGGACGGGUGAGGAAUACAUCGGAAUCUACUUUUUCGGGGGGGAUAACGUAGGGAAACUUACGCUAAUACCGCAUACGACCUACGGGUGAAAGCAGGGGAUCUUCGGACCUUGCGCGAUUGAAUGAGCCGAUGUCGGAUUAGCUAGUUGGCGGGGUAAAGGCCCACCAAGGCGACGAUCCGUAGCUGGCCUGAGAGGAUGAUCAGCCACACUGGAACUGAGACACGGUCCAGACUCCUACGGGAGGCAGCAGUGGGGAAUAUUGGACAAUGGGCGCAAGCCUGAUCCAGCCAUACCGCGUGGGUGAAGAAGGCCUUCGGGUUGUAAAGCCCUUUUGUUGGGAAAGAAAAGCAGCAGGUUAAUACCCCGCUGUUCUGACGGUACCCAAAGAAUAAGCACCGGCUAACUUCGUG
rnacentral:rRNA from 1 species